AUUGAACGCUGGCGGCAGGCCUAACACAUGCAAGUCGAACGGUAACAGGAAACAGCUUGCUGUUUCGCUGACGAGUGGCGGACGGGUGAGUAAUGUCUGGGAAACUGCCUGAUGGAGGGGGAUAACUACUGGAAACGGUAGCUAAUACCGCAUAACGUCGCAAGACCAAAGAGGGGGACCUUCGGGCCUCUUGCCAUCGGAUGUGCCCUGAUGGGAUUAGCUAGUAGGUGGGGUAACGGCUCACCUAGGCGACGAUCCCUAGCUGGUCUGAGAGGAUGACCAGCCACACUGGAACUGAGACACGGUCCAGACUCCUACGGGAGGCAGCAGUGGGGAAUAUUGCACAAUGGGCGCAAGCCUGAUGCAGCAAUGCCGCGUGUAUGAAGAAGGCCUUCGGGUUGUAAAGUACUUUCAGCGGGGAUGAAGGGAGUAAAGUGAAUACCUUUGCUCAUUGACGUUACCCGCAGAAGAAGCACCGGCUAACUCCGUG
rnacentral:rRNA from 1 species